GACGAACGCUGGCGGCGUGCUUAACACAUGCAAGUCGAACGGAAAGGCCCUGCUUUUGUGGGGUGCUCGCGUGGCGCACGGGUGAGUAACCCGUGAGUAACCUGCCCUUUACUUUGGGAUAACUUCAGGAAACUGGUGCUAAUACCGGAUAGGAGCUCCUGCUGCAUGGUGGGGGUUGGAAAGCUUCGGCGGUUGGGGAUGGACUCGCGGCUUAUCAGCUUGUUGGUUGGGUAGUGGCUUACCAAGGCUUCGAAGGGUAGCCGGCCUGAGAGGGGGGCCGGGGACCUGGGGCCUGAGAGACGGAGCAGUGUGGAACGGGAGGCAGCGGGCGGAAACAUGAUACAAUGGGCGGGAGCCUGUUACAGAGACGCUGCGUGCGGGAAGACGGCCUUCGUGUGGUGAACCGCAGUAGCUUGUGACGAAGCGUGAGUGACGUUAAUAGGUAAAGAAGCACCGGCUAACUACGUG
rnacentral:rRNA from 1 species